AUUGAACGCUGGCGGCAGGCCUAACACAUGCAAGUCGAGCGGAUGAAGGGAGCUUGCUCCUGGAUUCAGCGGCGGACGGGUGAGUAAUGCCUAGGAAUCUGCCUGGUAGUGGGGGAUAACGUCCGGAAACGGGCGCUAAUACCGCAUACGUCCUGAGGGAGAAAGUGGGGGAUCUUCGGACCUCACGCUAUCAGAUGAGCCUAGGUCGGAUUGGCUAGUUGGUGGGGUAAAGGCCUACCAAGGCGACGAUCCGUAACUGGUCUGAGAGGAUGAUCAGUCACACUGGAACUGAGACACGGUCCAGACUCCUACGGGAGGCAGCAGUGGGGAAUAUUGGAUAAUGGGCGAAAGCCUGAUCCAGCCAUGCCGCGUGUGUGAAGAAGGUCUUCGGAUUGUAAAGCACUUUAAGUUGGGAGGAAGGGCAGUAAGUUAAUACCUUGCUGUUUUGACGUUACCAACAGAAUAAGCACCGGCUAACUUCGUG
rnacentral:rRNA from 1 species